rnacentral:rRNA from 1 species
CAGCAGCCGCGGGAAUACAGAGGGUGCGAGCGUUAAUCGGAUUUACUGGGCGUAAAGCGUGCGUAGGCGGCUUCUUAAGUCGGAUGUGAAAUCCCUGAGCUUAACUUAGGAAUUGCAUUCGAUACUGGGAAGCUAGAGUAUGGGAGAGGAUGGUAGAAUUCCAGGUGUAGCGGUGAAAUGCGUAGAGAUCUGGAGGAAUACCGAUGGCGAAGGCAGCCAUCUGGCCUAAUACUGACGCUGAGGUACGAAAGCAUGGGGAGCAAACAGGAUUAGAGACCCGUGUAGUCCCUGUCUCUUAUAC